CGUAGAUAACCUGUCUUCAUAUCCGGAAUAACACGCCGAAAGGGGUACUAAUACCGGAUAUUCUUGCAUUUCACAGGUAAGGCAAGGAAAGGUGGCCUCUGAUUCAAGCUACUGUAUGAAGAGGGGUCUGCGUACCAUUAGCUAGUAGGUGGGGUAAUGGCCUACCUAGGCGACGAUGGUUAGCGGGUCUGAGAGGAUGAUCCGCCACACUGGCACUGGAAUACGGGCCAGACUCCUACGGGAGGCAGCAGUGAGGAAUAUUGCGCAAUGGGGGCAACCCUGACGCAGCGACGCCGCGUGAGUGAGGAAGGUCUUCGGAUCGUAAAGCUCUGUCAAGAGGGAAGAAGUGCAAGGCAGCGAAUA
rnacentral:rRNA from 1 species